CGAACGGGGAGAUUCAUCGUCAGCGGACGCCGGCUUCGCGUCGGUCGGCGAUGUCCCGCGGGGGCCCUCGCGGCUCUCAGCGCGGGCACGCUGCCGUGCGCCGAUGUAUCCGGCUUCGCCGUCGUGCACUUCUCCCCUGGUAGAACGUCGCGACCCGCUGGGUGUCGGUCUACGGCACGGGUGCGGUGUCUGACGCGCCGCCGGUAAAACGGCGCGCGUCAAACCCCCGUUCGCCCGGCCGGCUGCCCGGCGGUACGCGCAAGGUAUCAGGCCGCACACACAUUUGAAACGGUGCGUCGAGGCCGUCGCAAGCGCGCGCCACGGUACACGGAGGUACGGACCUAGCGCCGUCACCGGUCCUGGCCCGCUGUUGGUCGUACGGUUAACCUUCGACAGGCCUACGAACGUCCCAGCGUGUCGGGGGUCUCUCCCGCUCGUUGGC
rnacentral:rRNA from 2 species